GUGUGUGUGUUUGUGGGGACACAAACAAAGGCAAGAUGGCUGACUCAAAGUGGUCACCGUGACCACAUGACCUGAACAAAGGAGACUACACAAGAUGGCGGUAAACACAGAAACUACUCAAAAUGGCUGCUGAGACCACCUGGUGUGUGUGAGAGGGAAGGUGUGAGUUUCUUUGUUAGCCUAGCUCAUGUAAUCUACAGGUACCAGGUUAGAGGGAGGAGGUUCGCUUCAUGCAGGUUCUAGAACUGAGACGUACUGCAGGUAUGUGUGUGAACGUAGGAGUACCGGAUCAACUGUACGACUGACCACAACCUAAACCAACAUUACAACAACAUCAAUCAACAGGUACAUUAACAAAGUUAAGACUUCUGCUGCUGUGCUGUGCUGGGAAAGGUUAGGCCCAGUCAGUUAACGUUACCCAGUCCUUGGAACAAACAAACAGGUCAUUUCCAGUGUUGGUGUAAAGUCCAGUGAGUGGGGAGGUUUCCUGGUGGAGGAAAGUCCUGUCUGGCUGUGUUGCUUUGCUGGUAUCUCCUUUGUUAGCUGUUCCACACUAACUCUGCUGUGACUCCUGUUGCUUGGAAAAUCAUCAGAAUCAUGAGAUUCACUUCAGAUAUCACUGUUUCCUCUCAUGAAUAUCAGAUCUAUAUUCACACACACUGCUCUCUGAUUAUCUCUCAGCUGUCUUCUUGGACUGAACUCGGGUCCUGCAAACUGGGCCAGUGUUAGCCGCCUGGUGGAGGCCGUUUGCAACCAGCUCUGCAUCUUCACCCGGUGGCCACGUGGUCCAGAGGGACCGUGAGGACUCGCUGGUCAUUCAGUCUCAAGGAUCAUGUGGCAUCAGAGAGGCGGUGCUGGCCGGCCCCAGGUUGAUGCCUCAGACCAACAGACUCAGUGGUGGGAGAAGGACAGUCCUCUAACUUCAAUGUCCUAGAGGAGCAGAUUAACAUGAAACGGUGUUCAGCAGGAAACAGAUGGAACUGACCCACCAGAACUGCAACCUGGAGCAGAACCAGACUCUUCAUAGAUGUGAUGCUGUGACCUCAGAGACGGAUGUGUGACCUCACACACUCUUUAGUGUGAACUGAACACUGACAGUUCAGACUGUGAAGCAGGUGUCAGUGUAGUACAGCUCAUGUUCAUUAGUUUUAUUCACAACUUCAUUGGUGAUUAAAUUGUACUGAGUGUUUGUUCAUAUUGACCAUCUGCCUCAUGAUGAAUCUAACAGUCACUUUGGUGAAUUAGUGUUUUCAUUGUUAUUAAAAUUGAUAAGUUCAUAAGAGAAAUUAGAAAAGCACAAACUCUAGUAUCUGUCUCUAGAUCCUGUGUUGUCUCUGUUGAAGGACGGACACAUUUAAACAUUUCUAUCAUGUUUGUUGUUGAUUAAAGCAACAUAGAAAGUCUCUGAUUAAUUACA